rnacentral:rRNA from 1 species
GAGUUUGAUCCUGGCUCAGGACGAACGCUGGCGGUAUGCUUAACACAUGCAAGUCGAACGAGAAGGAAGAGCUUGCUCUUCCUGAAAGUGGCGAACGGGUGAGUAACGCGUGGGUAACCUACCCUUUGGAAAGGAAUAGCCUCGGGAAACUGGGAGUAAUGCCUUAUAAGAUACGUUUGUCGCAUGGCAUUUGUAUUAAACGCUCCGGCGCCAUAGGAUGGACCCGCGUCCCAUUAGCUAGUUGGUGAGAUAACAGCUCACCAAGGCCACGAUGGGUAACCGGUCUGAGAGGGCGAACGGUCACACUGGAACUGAGACACGGUCCAGACUCCUACGGGAGGCAGCAGUGGGGAAUAUUGCGCAAUGGGGGCAACCCUGACGCAGCAAUACCGCGUGAGUGAAGAAGGUUUUCGGAUCGUAAAGCUCUGUUAUUGGGGAAGAAAAAAAGACGGUACCCAAGAAGAAAGUUCCGGCUAACUACGUGCCAGCAGCCGCGGUAAUACGUAGGGAACAAGCGUUGUCCGGAUUUACUGGGCGUAAAGGGCACGCAGGCGGUUUUUUAAGUCAGAUGUGAAAGGCCACAGCUCAACUGUGGACAUGCAUUUGAAACUGGAGUUUGAUCCUGGCUCAGGACGAACGCUGGCGGUAUGCUUAACACAUGCAAGUCGAACGAGAAGGAAGAGCUUGCUCUUCCUGAAAGUGGCGAACGGGUGAGUAACGCGUGGGUAACCUACCCUUUGGAAAGGAAUAGCCUCGGGAAACUGGGAGUAAUGCCUUAUAAGAUACGUUUGUCGCAUGGCAUUUGUAUUAAACGCUCCGGCGCCAUAGGAUGGACCCGCGUCCCAUUAGCUAGUUGGUGAGAUAACAGCUCACCAAGGCCACGAUGGGUAACCGGUCUGAGAGGGCGAACGGUCACACUGGAACUGAGACACGGUCCAGACUCCUACGGGAGGCAGCAGUGGGGAAUAUUGCGCAAUGGGGGCAACCCUGACGCAGCAAUACCGCGUGAGUGAAGAAGGUUUUCGGAUCGUAAAGCUCUGUUAUUGGGGAAGAAAAAAAGACGGUACCCAAGAAGAAAGUUCCGGCUAACUACGUGCCAGCAGCCGCGGUAAUACGUAGGGAACAAGCGUUGUCCGGAUUUACUGGGCGUAAAGGGCACGCAGGCGGUUUUUUAAGUCAGAUGUGAAAGGCCACAGCUCAACUGUGGACAUGCAUUUGAAACUG